rnacentral:piRNA from 1 species
UGGCAAUAAAGGGUUGAAAGCACACAGC